UACGUAGGGGGCAAGCGUUGUCCGGAUUUAUUGGGCGUAAAGAGCUCGUAGGCGGUUUGUCGCGUCUGCUGUGAAAAUCCGGGGCUCAACCCCGGACUUGCAGUGGGUACGGGCAGACUAGAGUGCGGUAGGGGAGAUUGGAAUUCCUGGUGUAGCGGUGAAAUGCGCAGAUAUCAGGAGGAACACCAACAGCGAAGGCAGAUCUCUGGGACGUUACUGACGCUGAGACGCGAAAGCGUGGGGGAGCAAACAGG
rnacentral:rRNA from 1 species